rnacentral:rRNA from 1 species
CAGGAUGAACGCUAGCGGCAGGCUUAACACAUGCUUUUCGAGGGGCAGCGAGUAGAUUGCUUGCAAUCUAUGUCGGCGACCGGCGCACGGGUGCGUAACGCGUAUGCAACCUACCCAUUACAGGGGGAUAACACUGAGAAAUCGGUACUAAUACCCCAUAACAUCCAGGGAGGCAUCUUCUUGGGUUGAAAACUCCGGUGGUAAUGGAUGGGCAUGCGUUGUAUUAGUUAGUUGGUGGGGUAACGGCUCACCAAGACAACGAUACAUAGGGGGACUGAGAGGUUAACCCCCCACAUUGGUACUGAGACACGGACCAAACUCCUACGGGAGGCAGCAGUGAGGAAUAUUGGUCAAUGGACGCAAGUCUGAACCAGCCAUGCCGCGUGCAGGAAGACGGCUCUAUGAGUUGUAAACUGCUUUUGUACGAGGGUAAACGCAGAUACGUGUAUCUGUCUGAAAGUAUCGUACGAAUAAGGAUCGGCUAACUCCGUGCCAGCAGCCGCGGUAAUACGGAGGAUUCAAGCGUUAUCCGGAUUUAUUGGGUUUAAAGGGUGCGUAGGCGGUCGGAUAAGUUAGAGGUGAAAUCCCGAGGCUCAACUUCGGAAUUGCCUCUGAUACUGUUCGGCUAGAGAGUAGUUGCGGUAGGCGGAAUGUAUGGUGUAGCGGUGAAAUGCUUAGAGAUCAUACAGAACACCGAAUGCGAAGGCAGCUUACCAAGCUACUUCUGACGUUGAGGCACGAAAGCGUGGGGAGCAAACAGGAUUAGAUACCCUGGUAGUCCACGCAGUAAACGAUGAUAACUCGUUGUCGGCGAUACAAUGUCGGUGACUAAGCGAAAGCGAUAAGUUAUCCACCUGGGGAGUACGUUCGCAAGAAUGAAACUCAAAGGAAUUGACGGGGGCCCGCACAAGCGGAGGAACAUGUGGUUUAAUUCGAUGAUACGCGAGGAACCUUACCCGGGCUUGAAAGUUAGUGACAGAUCUGGAAACAGGUCUUCCCUUCGGGGCACGAAACUAGGUGCUGCAUGGUUGUCGUCAGCUCGUGCCGUGAGGUGUCGGGUUAAGUCCCAUAACGAGCGCAACCCCUACCGUCAGUUGCCAGCAGGUCAAGCUGGGCACUCUGGCGGGACUGCCGGUGUAAGCCGAGAGGAAGGUGGGGAUGACGUCAAAUCAGCACGGCCCUUACGUCCGGGGCUACACACGUGUUACAAUGGCAGGUACAGAGGGCAGCUACCCAGCGAUGGGAUGCGAAUCUCGAAAGCCUGUCUCAGUUCGGAUUGGAGGCUGAAACCCGCCUCCAUGAAGUUGGAUUCGCUAGUAAUCGCGCAUCAGCCAUGGCGCGGU